GCGUGCCCGACCCUCACCCGACACCUCCUCGCACCGAGUCUUCUUCCCCCGCCGAACCCGUGCCCUAACCGCACGCGGCUGUUUUCUUCUCCCCCUCCCGCGUACAAAACCUAAGCCGUGGCCAAGGGAAGCCAAAACUUCUCUUCUCCUUCCCUCCCGAGCAGCUCACCCGACGCACGCAGACCUUCUCUACACCUCUCCUCUUGUCGCGUCACCCUCGGGUCGCCACAGCCGACAGUGGUGUCGCCAGCCGAGCCCUAGAUCGGGGGAGAUCAGGAACACCGAUCGGCCAGUCGAACCCUAGGUCUGGUCCCUGGGCGCCGACCGAAGCCUCCUCAUCCUCCUCGCCUCCUUCUCCUCAGAAUCCAAGCCUCCCGAGCCGCACAUCACCGGCAACAGUCUUCCCUUUUGCCCUAGCGUCGAUCGUCUCCUCUCUGCCUUGCUUUCGCUCCCUGUUGCUGUGUUGCUAGCGCACUGUGCCCUAGAUUGCUGGAAGCCGAGAGCUGGAGAAGGUGACAGCGAGCAGUAGUAAUUCGGCUGUGUGAUUGAAGUGAAGGAUUCCAGCAGGAAGGGUUGUUCGGUGGGUUUUCUUAGGUUCCAGCAGCAAUUAACCUUUGCUGGCAGCAACAGUCCUUGUGUGGAUCAACAAGCACGGUUGUGAAUUUAGGUUGAGACUGUCCGGAGGAGUUCCAGUCGCUAGUCCCCUGCAGAUUGCGAUGAUGUGUUUUA